rnacentral:rRNA from 1 species
UACGGGGGGGGCAAGCGUUGUUCGGAAUUACUGGGCGUAAAGGGUUUGUAGGUGGCCGGCUAAGUCAGACGUGAAAUCCCUCAGCUUAACUGGGGAACUGCGUCUGAAACUGAUCGGCUCGAGUGCAGGAGAGGAACGCGGAAUUCCAGGUGUAGCGGUGAAAUGCGUAGAUAUCUGGAGGAACACCGGUGGCGAAGGCGGCGUUCUGGACUGCAACUGACACUGUAAAACGAAAGCCAGGGGAGCAAACGGGG